rnacentral:rRNA from 1 species
UCCUACGGGAGGCAGCAGUAGGGAAUUUUCGUCAAUGGGCGCAAGCCUGAACGAGCGAUGCCGCGUGAGCGAUGAAGGCCUUCGGGUCGUAAAGCUCUGUCCUCAAGGAAGAUAAUGACGGUACUUGAGGAGGAAGCCCCGGCUAACUACGUGCCAGCAGCCGCGGUAAUACGUAUGGUGCAAGCGUUAUCCGGAUUUACUGGGUGUAAAGGGAGCGCAGGCGGCGCGUUAAGCCUGGUGUGAAAGCCCGCGGCCCAACCGCGGGACUGCAUUGGGAACUGGCGCGCUGGAGUGCCGGAGG